rnacentral:lncRNA from 1 species
ACCGGGCUAAAUCAAAUUGGGAAAAAUAUUGAUCACUAAUUGGACUUUAUUGUCCAUAAGAAAAUAUUGUUACAUAGUGGGGAAAUAUAGUUACUAGCCUGCUUGUAGGUGUCAUAGAAGAACUUGGUAUCUUAAUUCCCACCUUGUGUACAAUUUCAAGAGGGAUAAUACUCAGGAUGCUUCUAGAAGCCACGUUCCUGGUCUUUGACCUUCUAGCCCACCCAGCCCAUCAGAGCAUUUAGUCUGAACCAGAGUUGAAGUGAAGUUUCUUUGAGUAGAGUCCUUACUAGGGUGAGGCAGAAGAGUUCUACAAUCACAGGCUUAGGUAUCUUUUUUAUUUAACAUAUGGAUACAUCUCAUUGCAAAAGCCCUGGAUUUAAACCCCAAUACCGCCUCCCUCGCCCCAAAUAUUCAUUAAGAUCCCGGGCCACCCAAUUCCGGAAGGAAAACAAGAUCGCAUCGGCCAAUUUGGGGCCUGAAGUUCGAAACAAGCACCCAGGGUGGGUCACCCGAUCCCUAGCCCUCUUAAGAUUCACUCCUAAAGGACUCGCUCCAGUCUGCAGGGCGCACGAGUCUCCGGGUUCCAGGCUGUAGGCCCUGUCGGCGCCCCACCGGCAGUCUCCGGGCUCGCAAGUCCGCCUGGGGAGGAGGAGGCCUAGGCGGCCGCCAGCUCAAAGAGCGCCCUCGGGCGGGAGGCUGCGCGCCACGCCAUCCAUUGCGCAUGCGUACGCGCCGCAGACGCCCCCUCCUCUCCCUGAUCCGGGCCCUGCGCAGUAGAGCUGAUGCCGCGUCCCCCCUGUGCGGGCGUGUGAGCUUUUCCUUCCUACAGUUUGUCUCCUCACCCACCCUGCUCCCUGCCCGUAGUGCCUCCGGCCGCCAGACCGCGCUGUCUCUGCCCAGCACCCUCUGCGGGUGGCACAGCAGCGCCUACAGGUGUCCUGAGGCAGAAUUGGGCGAGGGCCUGGAGACGCUGUGGUCCCCCCCACCCGUGCCUUGUGACGCCUGGGCUUGA